rnacentral:rRNA from 1 species
UACGGAGGGGGCUAGCGUUGUUCGGAAUUACUGGGCGUAAAGGGCGCGUAGGCGGCGUCGUAAGUCAGGCGUGAAAGGCCAGGGCUCAACCCUGGAACUGCGCUUGAUACUGCGGCUCUCGAGUGCGGGAGAGGAUGGCGGAAUUCCCAGUGUAGAGGUGAAAUUCGUAGAUAUUGGGAAGAACACCGGUGGCGAAGGCGGCCAUCUGGACCGGAACUGACGCUAAGGCGCGAAAGCGUGGGGAGCAAACAGG